GACGAACGCUGGCGGCGUGCUUAACACAUGCCAGUCGAACGCUGAAGCACCAGCUUGCUGGUGUGGAUGAGUGGCGAACGGGUGAGUAAUACGUGAGUAACCUGCCCUUGACUCUGGGAUAAGCCCGGGAAACUGGGUCUAAUACUGGAUGCUACAUGUCACCGCAUGGUGGUGUGUGGAAAGGGUUUACUGGUCUUGGAUGGGCUCACGGCCUAUCAGCUUGUUGGUGAGGUAAUCGCUCACCAAGGCGACGACGGGUAGCCGGCCUGAGAGGGUGACCGGCCACACUGGGACUGAGACACGGCCCAGACUCCUACGGGAGGCAGCAGUGGGGAAUAUUGCACAAUGGGCGAAAGCCUGAUGCAGCGACGCCGCGUGAGGGAUGACGGCCUUCGGGUUGUAAACCUCUUUCAGCAGGGAAGAAGCCACAAGUGACGGUACCUGCAGAAGAAGCGCCGGCUAACUACGUG
rnacentral:rRNA from 1 species